rnacentral:tRNA from 3 species
GGGUCGUUAGCUCAAUGGUAGAGCUGCUCCCUUUUAAGGAGUAGGUUGUAGGUUCGAGUCCUACACGACCCA